UAACCAGUGAAAGUCCGGUCAAGGUAAUUGCCAGUGAGCCUUGUAGCAAGCCUCCAGUGCUCUUGGGUGACUAAUUGUGCUGAAACGAGGUAGACCUAUGUGAAAUAGGUGCAAAUUAACAGUCCGUAACAUUA
rnacentral:ncRNA from 1 species